rnacentral:rRNA from 1 species
GCCUUGGCACUAAGAGCCGAUGAAGGACGA